rnacentral:rRNA from 1 species
UACGUAGGUGGCAAGCGUUGUUCGGAAUUACUGGGCGUAAAGCGCGUGUAGGCGGCUCUUCAAGUCAGGCGUGAAAGCCCCGGGCUUAACUCGGGAACUGCGCUUGAUACUGUCGAGCUAGAGUGUGGAAGGGGCGAUUGGAAUUCCGUGUGUAGCGGUGAAAUGCGUAGAUAUACGGAGGAACACCAGAGGCGAAGGCGGAUCGCUGGGCCAACACUGACGCUGAGACGCGAAAGCUAGGGGAGCAAACGGG